rnacentral:rRNA from 1 species
AGAGUUUGAUCAUGGCUCAGGACGAACGCUGGCGGCGCGCCUAACACAUGCAAGUCGAACGAGCGAGAGAGAGCUUGCUUUCUCGAGCGAGUGGCGAACGGGUGAGUAACGCGUGAGGAACCUGCCUCAAAGAGGGGGACAACAGUUGGAAACGACUGCUAAUACCGCAUAAGCCCACGGGUCGGCAUCGACCAGAGGGAAAAGGAGCAAUCCGCUUUGAGAUGGCCUCGCGUCCGAUUAGCUAGUUGGUGAGGUAAUGGCCCACAAGGCGACGAUCGGUANCCGGACUGAGAGGUUGAACGGCCACAUUGGGACUGAGACACGGCCCAGACUCCUACGGGAGGCA